GGAACACUAUAGCGUUUGGAAUACAAAACUGUAUUCAUAUAGUUAUAGUGUCACUGAUUCCAUCAAUACUUUCUGAUGGGGAUUUUGAAAAUGUCCUCAUGCACAGCCAUGUCAUUUCACGGAAUUAAACUCCUUGAAAAUGCAGGAAGCCUGUCUAGAUGGUUGUCUGGAAGACGAGCACUAGAGGUUGUCUUAACCCUGCAAUGUUUUAC